AAUAGAUACCCGGGUAGUCCACGCCGUAAACGAUGAGUACUAGGUGUAGGGGGUAUCGACCCCCUCUGUGCCGAAGCUAACGCAAUAAGUACUCCGCCUGGGGACUACGGCCGCAAGGCUAAAACUCAAAGGAAUUGACGGGGGCCCGCACAAGCAGCGGAGCGUGUGGUUUAAUUCGAUGAUACGCGAAGAACCUCACCCAGGUUUGACAUGCAUGUGGUACCGAUCCGAAAGGUGACGGACCCCUCGGGGAGCAUGCACAGGUGUUGCAUGGCCGUCGUCAGCUCGUGCCGUGAGGUGUUGGGUUAAGUCCCGCAACGAGCGCAACCCUUGUUGCCAGUUGUAUUUUUCUGGCGAGACUGCCGAGAAAACCUCGGAGGAAGGAGGGGAUGAUGUCAGGUCAGCAUGGCCCUUACGCCUGGGGCUACACACACGCUACAAUGGGUGGUACAGAGGGCAGCCAAGCCGCGAGGCGGAGCUAAUCCCAUCAAAGCCAUCCUCAGUUCGGAUUGCAGGCUGCAACUCGCCUGC
rnacentral:rRNA from 1 species